AGCAGCCGCGGUAAUUCCAGCUCCAAUAGCGUAUAUUAAAGUUGUUGCAGUUAAAAAGCUCGUAGUUGAAUUUCGAGAUCAGUACGCUGGUCGUGCCUUCGGUAUGCACUGGUGUCACUGGUUUCUCCCUUCUGAAGAACCGUCAUGCCAUUCAGUUGGUGUGGCGGGGAAUCAGGACUGUUACUUUGAAAAAUUAGAGUGUUUAAAGCAGGCUCGCGUUUGAAUACAUUAGCAUGGAAUAAUGAAAUAGGACGUUUGACCCUAUUUUGUUGGUUUCUAGGAUCGACGUAAUGAUUAAUAGGGAUAGUUGGGGGCAUUAGUAUUCAAUUGUCAGAGGUGAAAUUCUUGGAUUUAUUGAAGACUAACUACUGCGAAAGCAUUUGCCAAGGAUGUUUUCAUUAAUCAAGAACGAAAGUUAGGGGAUCGAAGACGAUCAGAUACCGUCGUAGU
rnacentral:rRNA from 1 species